rnacentral:rRNA from 1 species
GAUGAACGCUAGCUACAGGCUUAACACAUGCAAGUCGAGGGGUAACAUUGGCGGAGCUUGCUCAGCCAGAUGACGACCGGCGCACGGGUGAGUAACGCGUAUCCAACCUUCCCCUUACUAGGGGAUAGCCCGGCGAAAGUCGGAUUAAUGCCCUAUGUUCUCCUUUGCGGGCAUCUAACGAGGAGCAAAGAUUCAUCGGUAAGGGAUGGGGAUGCGUCUGAUUAGCCAGUUGGCGGGGUAACGGCCCACCAAGGCGACGAUCAGUAGGGGUUCUGAGAGGAAGGUCCCCCACAUUGGUACUGAGACACGGACCAAACUCC